rnacentral:rRNA from 1 species
GGACUACUGGGGUAUCUAAUCCCGUUCGCUCCCCUGGCUUUCGCUCCUCAGCGUCAGAAUCAGGCCAGAAAGCCGCCUUCGCCACUGGUGUUCCUCCGAAUCUCUACGCAUUUCACCGCUACACUCGGAAUUCCGCUUUCCUCUCCUGUCCUCAAGAACUGCCGUAUCGCAGAUGAGCCACCCGUUGAGCAGAUGGAUUUACUCCGCGACUAACAAUCCCGCCUACGAGCUCUUUACGCCCAGUAAUUCCGGACAACGCUCGCCCCCUACGUCUUACCGCGGCUGCUGGCAC